UUUGUUGCAUGUUCUAUUCUGAGCUUUGUUUAUUUCCAUAUUAGUCCUCCCGUGUAUCAUAGUUUUUGGUCAUCCUCACUAACAAUGAUUUUUUUGCCUAUUCCCUGCCUGUACUCUUUGCUUAUCCGAUUUCUUGUCAUCAACCUCUUUCCUGAUCUCCCGGACUACGUUAUUAGCCUUUUUUCCUGCCUGUGCUGUUACCUUCUGGAUUCCCCAUAUAUGACCUUCUGCCUGUCCCUGGACCCUGCUACCUGCCUCUUCCUGUGGUUCUUUACGGAAUAAACACCUGCUGCACCAUGUGCUUGAAACUAGCACUCUGUCUCCCAUCAUACGCAUUGCAUAGAGGGGUCUUUGGAAAUAAAGUGGAGGAUAGUUGAAAUGUAUACUAUUAUGUAGUGAUAACGAUUCUGUCGGCUCUUUGCAGCAGCUCCAUGCUGGAGGCGGUGGGAUGUGAUGCAGACAUCUGUCGCCGACAGUGAUGAAACAGGCAUUUAACGCAAGUCGACAACCGCCACAUGUACUGUAGAAUCAUCUCUCUCUCUCUCAAGGUGGGGAAGUGACACUGUCAUCUUCUUAAUCAUGACAUUCAUUUCUGUUCUGUAGCAAGUAAGACACUCCAUUACCUCUGUGCUCAUCAUAAUAAAUGAGAUCAGAACUGGCGAGAGCAAUAGCCUUUCGUUACUCUUGUGUCUAGUCUGUUGUGAUGGCCUUACAGGUCAAGAGAGUUCACAUGUCACAGGCACAAGACCCAGUUGAUUUGACCUAAUUGUUACUACAUUUUCUAGACAUUUUGUGAAUUGUAGCUUGGGUACUGUACAUCCAUAAGGAGAACAGAAACCAGCUAAAACUGGAUAUUUUCAAGGUCUUGCAAAGUAUUCUUUGCUACAAAUGGUUGGUCAGAAAGGUUUGCUGACCAAACGAACAUAGUCCACAAACCAACAACAACCUAAGUUGUACACAAACAUGCUAAAAUUGGCUAUUUUCAAGGUCUUGCAAAUUAUUAUAAGCUACAAAUGGUGUCAGAAAGGUUUGACUACGUGAAAGCCAGUCACCAUGGUGAAAUUAAUGAAUGCCCGGGUAUGGAUAGGUUUUAAUUGACCUUUUGUACGAUAGCAUUUGUAUUCCUAACCAGCCUUUAAAAUUAUAGUGUCAAAAACCAACGCUGAUAACACGCUCUAAUCACUGUGUUGUUUGCACCUUCCCCUUCAUUGUGAAUGUUAUACUGCUGACAUACCAGGAGAGGUUAUCAAUUGAAUUAUAAGACUUCAAUCCGCAUUAUGUGGAUGGAAUACCUGGGGAUACAUUAGGUCUUAGAGUUGGGAGGAAUGAGAGUAAUACAGGCUGGUAUUUGCUAUUUCUUUUUAUUUUUUAGACCAAUGGGAAUGAGGUGGUGAGCACAAAUGAUGCAGAUUUGUUUUGAGGCAUACACUUCCAUCAAAUUGGAACACAGACAAUGGGUGAUAUGCGAAACAGAACGCCACACAUUAAGACAUGCCUUCUGUAAAGUGUCAAUACUGCAGCUAGUUUGCUAGCUAAGUGAACAAGUAUUUCUCAAAAUACAUCCAGACUGCGUUUCGUCAUACUGACCAGUCAUAUCACUGGAUUUAGUUGCCAUAAAAGAGGCAAGUGACUGAAAUGUUUCACAGAUACAGUACAUUCCAGAACACCCCACAGAUUUUCACCUGCUAUCAUUCUGAUGAUGAAGGCCUCAUUUGCUUAACAGAUACGUUUUUCAGCAUUCAAUGGGCCAAAACAAAUACAAUCGAUGCCAAAAUCAACUUGCAGUGAAUCCAAAAAUUAUGAUAAUGUCCGGCAUUUGAAAAUAUGCUUUUAUGUGUCCAUAAGCCAUAAUGUUACUCUAAUAACCCAAAAUGCAUUUUAAUUUGCUGCCAACUAUGCCACAUUAUAUCCAACAACAUUAUGAAAUGUUUGUUUCCUCUAUGUCCCAAAUACUUUGCUGCUGCCUGAGACAAAACAAUUACUGAUAAAAUGUCACCACAAAUAGACUUACUGUUUUGCCAAUUUCAGCCAUGCGUAUUAAUUUACUUUCGUCAUGAAAUAUGCUUCCCAUCACAAGAACUGUAAAAGAGAAAUUGCAAUAUGCUGCAUCGUGCAUUGGCUGCCCCAAGGUUUCUGAUUUAUAUGACUAAUUAGUGAGAAAAAAAAUGGUUAAUUGUUGAUAGGAACAAACCUGGAUUUGUAGACAUGUCAAUAAAUCACACACACGGUGUCACGUUCUGACCUUAGUUCUUUUGUUAUGUCUUUGUUUUCGUAUGGUCAGGGCGUGAGUUGGGUGGGUUUUCUGUUAGUUUUUCUAUGAUUUGUUAUUUCUGUGUUUGGCCUGGUAUGGUUCUCAAUCAGAGGCAGCUGUCAAUCGUUGUCCCUGAUUGAGAACCAUAUUUAGGCUGCCUGUUUUCUAUUGUUUCGUGGGUGAUUGUUUUCUGUUGUGUGUCUGCACCAGCCAGAACUGUUUUCAGUUGUUUCUCCUUGUUAUUUUUGUUAUUUCCGUGUUCAUUUUAAUAAAUAUGGACACAUAACACGCUG